UACGGGGGGAGCAAGCGUUGUUCGGAUUUACUGGGCGUAAAGGGCGCGUAGGCGGUCGUGCCAAGUCACUUGUGAAAUCUCCGGGCUUAACUCGGAAAGGUCAAGUGAUACUGUCGGACUAGAGUACAGAAGGGGCAACUGGAAUUCUCGGUGUAGCGGUGAAAUGCGUAGAGAUCAUGAGGAAGACCAGUGGCGAAGGCGGGUCUCUGGACAGUUCCUGACACUGAGGCACGAAGGCCAGGGGAGCAAACGGG
rnacentral:rRNA from 1 species